rnacentral:rRNA from 1 species
AAACUGGGAUUAGAUACCCCACUAUGCCCCGCCGUAAACUUUUAAUUACACCCCCAUCGCCAGGGAACUACGAGCCAAGCUUAAAACCCAAAGGACUUGACGGUACCCCACAUCCACCUAGAGGAGCCUGUUCUACAAUCGAUAACCCCCGUUUAACCUCACCAUUUUUAGCCAAUCAGUCUGUAUACCUCCGUCGUCAGCUUACCACGUGAGCGACCCAUAAGUGAGCUCAAUGCCCAUUCGCCAACACGUCAGGUCAAGGUGCAACAAAUAAAAUGGAAAGAAAUGGGCUACACUUUCUAAAAUAGAAAACACGAAAGACUACCUAUGAAACCCUAGUCAGAAGGCGGAUUUAGUAGUAAAAAGAGAUCAGAGAGCUCUUUUUAACCCGGCACUGGGGUGUGUACACACCGCCCGUCACCCUCUUCGAAGCCCACAGACAGUUAUUAACUAGACCGCCGCUAUAUAGAAGAGGCAAGUCGUAACAUGGUAAGUAUACCGGAAGGUGUGCUUGGUAAA